GAUGACACCCGGGGUGUGGGCAGAGGGAAGCCCGGCAAUUAGUGGGGACGUGAUGUUAUGACCUCAGAGAAACAAGGAUUAGAACUGUAGGCUCUGACACUCCCUCUAUAUGAUCCUGCAAAAGCAACGUAACUUUUAUUAUUAAUUAUUAUUUGUGUGUUCUCGGAUUCAAACCCAAGUCUGUAUGUCUUUUUCUCUCUUGUCAAAUAAUCUUUAUUAUUUUUUUAAAAAAUUAUAAGUAAAAAGACAGGUUCUUGCAUUGUAGCUCAGGCUGGUCUGGAACUCACAGAGACCCCCCCCCCGCCUCUUCCUCCUGAGUGUUGGCACUAAAGGUGUACACCACCAUAUCUAGCUUGCCUCAGUUUCCCGAAUGUUAGCACUAAAGGGGUGAGUCAUCUUGCCCAGUUUCAUGUAUUUUCUUUAAGCUUUAGUUUCUUUGACUUGAAAGAGGAAGUCAUUGUAAACAGUAGAUACGUUCAUACUACUAGCCAUUAUAACACAUGGUCACACGUGGUCACACGUGGUCACAGCACUCCUCAGCUGUGGGGAGGGGGAUCAUGAGUUCAGGGCUGACCCCAGUUACAGAGGAAGUUCAAGGUCAGCCUUCCGCACAGCCUGGACUACAUAAGACCCUAUCUCAAAACAAACAAAUAGGGGUUGGGAAGCUAAUUCAGUGGGCAAAAGCACUUGUUGCCAGACCUGCUGUCCUGAGCUCCAUCCCGAGAACCUGUGAAAUGAGAGGAGAAAAUGGACUAGAGAGUUGUCUUAUGACCUCUGCGUGUACACUGUGGUACAUGCUACCCCCCCCACACAAAUAAACUCAAUUAAUUAAUUAAAGGGAGGCAUUGCAUCAAAGAUUCGAUUAUUUUAUUGAUACAAGGUUUCGCUGUGUAGCUCUGGCUGGCCAGAACUUGCUACGUCAGUUCCAGCCAGCCAUAGGGACAGUGUAGGGACCGAUAGGAGGUGGCUUAGUUCCAGUCAGCCAUGGGGACACUGUAGGGACCGAUAGGAGGUGGCAUUUGCCUUUUUAGGAGAAUGAGACAAGGCCUGCCCUUGCAAACUUUAAUUCUCUACUGCAACCUGGCAGCAAGGGUUGCAGGUCUUGCUCCAGUGAGAGAUUCUU